rnacentral:misc_RNA from 1 species
GAUGAAGAACGUAGCGAAAUGCGAUAAGUAGUGUGAAUUGCAGAAUUCAGUGAAUCAUCGAAUCUUUGAACGCACAUUGCGCCCCUUGGUAUUCCAUGGGGCAUGCCUGUUCGAGCGUCAUUUGUACCUUCAAGCUCUGCUUGGUGUUGGGUGUUUGUCUCGCCUCUGCGUGUAGACUCGCCUUAAAACAAUUGGCAGCCGGCGUAUUGAUUUCGGAGCGCAGUACAUCUCGCGCUUUGCUCUCAUAACGACGACGUCCAAAAGUACAUUUUUACACUCUUGACCUCGGAUCAGGUAGGGAUACCCGCUGAACUUAAGCAUAUCAAUAAGCGGAGGA